ACUACGGGUGGCAGCAGUGAGGAAUAUUGGUCAAUGGGCGGAAGCCUGAACCAGCCAAGUAGCGUGCAGGAUGACGGCCCUACGGGUUGUAAACUGCUUUUAUACGGGAAUAACGCGCCUUACGUGUAGGGCUUUGCAUGUACCGUAUGAAUAAGGACCGGCUAAUUCCGUGCCAGCAGCCGCGGUAAUACGGAAGGUCCGGGCGUUAUCCGGAUUUAUUGGGUUUAAAGGGAGCGUAGGCCGCAUGUCAAGCGUGCUGUGAAAUGUCCGGGCUCAACCCGGGCCUUGCAGCGCGAACUGGCGUGCUUGAGUCCGCGGAAAGCAGGCGGAAUUCGUCGUGUAGCGGUGAAAUGCUUAGAUAUGACGAAGAACCCCGAUUGCGAAGGCAGCUUGCUGCAGCGGAACUGACGCUGAUGCUCGAAAGCGCGGGUAUCGAACAGGAUUAGAUACCCUGGUAGUC
rnacentral:rRNA from 1 species